UUACCAGGGAAUUGCUCUUUCAACUGUCAACAUCAUAUUAGUUUAAGUCAAAUUCCUGGCAUUUCGAAGCUAAGCUAAUCACAACAAAAAUGUAUUUUUACUCGACCUUGUUGUUUACAUGCUGUGCUGCAUGUUUCAUUUCCGCAAAGGCUUUGCCUUGCUCGAGACUCGAGGGGAAAAUGUCGAGGAUAAGGUUCCCAGAAGCGUUGCCAGUAUUCUACAAUCUUGGACAUAGAGACUCGACAUUCCAGCCAAUAUUGCAAAGUUAGGGACUGAUCAUAAUUUAGCA